rnacentral:rRNA from 1 species
AAGUCGUAACAAGGUUUCCGUAGGUGAACCUGCGGAAGGAUCAUUAAUGAGUUUGAAAGGGGUUGUUGCUGGCCUCCAUAGGGGGCAUGUGCACGCUUCGCUCAUCCACUCACCCCUGUGCACCUAAGGUAGUCUGGUCAGUUAGCCUUCGGGCGUUGACUGGACCGCCGUUUUUAUAAACUCAAUGUGUCAGAAUGUAACUUUGCUAUAAACGCAUAUAAUAUAACUUUCAACAACGGAUCUCUUGGCUCUCGCAUCGAUGAAGAACGCAGCGAAAUGCGAUAAGUAAUGUGAAUUGCAGAAUUCAGUGAAUCAUCGAAUCUUUGAACGCACCUUGCGCUCCUUGGUAUUCCUUGGAGCAUGCCUGUUUGAGUGUCAUGAAUUUCUCAAACCCCCAGGGCUUUUGCACUGAUGGGUUUGGACUUGGAGGUUGCUGGUAAUCAGCUCCUCUCAAAUGUAUUAGCUGGAACCUCAUGUGUAUUGCCGGUGUGAUAAUAUCUACUCCGCUCGAUCACAAAGUAGCGUCUGCUUCUAAUCGUCCGGGAAACCAGACAACUUAUGACAUCUGACCUCAAAUCAGGUAGGACUACCCGCUGAACUUAAGCAUAUCAAUAAGCGGAGGAAAAGAAACUAACAAGGAUUCCCCUAGUAACUGCGAGUGAAGCGGGAAAAGCUCAAAUUUAAAAUCUGACAGUCUAUGAUUGUUCGAGUUGUAAUCUGGAGAAGCGUCUUCCGCGUUGGACCGUGUACAAAUUUCUUGGAAUAGAAUAUCAUAGAGGGUGAGAAUCCCGUCUCUGACACGGACUACCAGUGCUCUGUGAUGCGCUCUCAACGAGUCGCGUUGUUUGGGAAUGCAGCGCCAAAUGGGUGGUAAAUUCCAUCUAAAGCUAAAUAUUGGCGAGAGACCGAUAGCGAACAAGUACCGUGAGGGAAAGAUGAAAAGCACUUUGGAAAGAGAGUUAAACAGUACGUGAAAUUGUUGAAAGGGAAACGCUUGGAGUCAGUCACGUCAUAUAGACUCAGCCUUACUAUUGUGGGGUGCAUUUCUUAUGUGACGGGCCAGCAUCAAUUUCAACCGUUGGAAAAAGUUCAGGGGAAUGUGGCACCUUCGGGUGUGUUAUAGCCUCUGUUCGCAUACAGCGAUUGGGAUUGAGGAUCGCAGCACGCCUUUUGGCCGGGGUUCGCCCACGUACGUGCUUAGGAUGCUGGCGUAAUGGCUUUAAGCGAC